rnacentral:sRNA from 1 species
UACAUAAUUUCCCAUCCAUUCUACAAGA